AUUAAUCGAAAAGUAUCGUUCACUUCAAAUGUUUUAAAGUACAUGUUGUCGAAAUACGUUUGGUAUGAUAAUAGAUUUCAACUACAAAGUUUAAUAUUUAACUUUUUUAUUUAUAAAUUUUAAUUUAGUUAACUUAUAAUCACCAUAUAUUGGAAAUUUAGACGAAUAUCUACUGUAAAAAGUGAAUUUUCAAGAAGACUCUAUGAUAUUUCAAACUGAAAAUUGUCUAAGCUGAUGAAAUGUCAAUGACUGGUUCCAUUACCCUAGCUGUUUUAUAGAAAAAUUAAAUCUGCUACCUUUGAAGAGUUUCUGAAAACAGAACUACUACAAGUUGUUGUAAUUCAUAUUCAUGAGCAGAUUUUACUGGUACCAUUGCUGACACAUAACGCAGUUCAAAUUCUGCUAAUAAGUGAUCAAAAGUGCACAAUGAUGAUAUCAAAUUACGUAGACAUGGAGGAGUUUGGUCACUACAUAAGCUAGCAUCUCUUAAUAAACUGCGGACUUUUUCUAAUGAUUUAGUUAAUGCUCUAGCAAGAGGUCUCAUUGCUCCACUUUCAGCUUCUCUAUUCAUUAUACUAGAUCCUGCAGAUAAACACUGAAAAAAAAAAUAGUAAAAUUUAUUUAAACUAAAGUUACGUUACUUGUCUGAUAUACAGCAGUACUACUCCUAAAUAUAAUAUUUUUUAAUAAUGUCACUUUUAUUAUAAUAGUGUUUAGUAAUUAUUUAACUCCAAAACUGAAAAAAUAUCUUGUAGAAAACAUUCAUUUUUUGUUUAAUUAUAAAACAUUUUAGCAAAAAAACUAACUUGAAUUAAUUAAAUUUAAUAAUGGUAGUAAGAUUUAGAGACAUAAAUAUAUUGGGAUGUUUUGGAAUGAUAAUUAAAACUCACAUACACUUUUAUAAAAAUGAAACUAUAGCCUACAUUAUUUGUGAAGAUUGAUUAAUACUCUAGUAUAAAUAAUUACUUCAGCACCAAACCACAACUGUCCAGCUAAAUUAUCUUGAAUUACAUCAUCAGGAAAUUUGACACGAAAAUCGCGACUAGCACGCUCGCCAGGUAUUAAUUCGUCCAUAAUUUUGAUACAAAUGGUUAAAACCUAAGCAAAAAAAAAAAAAUGUAUAAUCAUUUUAAUAAAAAAAAAAUUAAAUUUAAAUUACUUUGUCUUGACAUUGUCUUAAGUGAUUUACAAGGGCAGUGCACCGUUGAGGAUCCUUUUUACCAUCAAAGCUAUCCAAUUCUGCAGCAACCACAUUUAAUUCAUCAUCAGCAUAAAAAAAUUGAGCUAAUAAGGAACGAUCUCCUUUCUGAAAAAAAAAACCAUUACAAUGAAAAUCAAAAUAUAUUAAUACGGUCUUGUAUUAUGUCUAGAA